GGAAUCGCUAGUAAUCGCGAAUCAGAAUGUCGCGGUGAAUACGUUCCCGGGUCUUGUACACACCGCCCGUCACACCAUGGGAGUCAGCAACGCCCGAAGUCAGUGACCUAACCGAAAGGGAGGAGCUGCCGAAGGCGGGGCCGGUAACUGGGGUGAAGUCGUAACAAGGUAAC
rnacentral:rRNA from 1 species